rnacentral:rRNA from 1 species
UACGUAGGUGGCAAGCGUUUGUCCGGAUUUAUUGGGUUUAAAGGGUGCGUAGGCGGUUUUUUAAGUCAGUGCUGAAAUACUCCAGCUUAACUGGAGGGGUGGCAUUGAUACUGGAAGACUUGAGUACAGAUGAGGUAGGCGGAAUUGACGGUGUAGCGGUGAAAUGCAUAGAUAUCGUCAAGAACACCGAUAGCGAAGGCAGCUUACUGGGCUGUAACUGACGCUGAUGCACGAAAAGUGUGGGGGAUCAAACAGG